UGGGGAAUUUUGGACAAUGGGCGCAAGCCUGAUCCAGCCAUGCCGCGUGCGGGAAGAAGGCCUUCGGGUUGUAAACCGCUUUUGUCAGGGAAGAAAUCUUCUGAGUCAAUACCUCGGGAGGAUGACGGUACCUGAAGAAUAAGCACCGGCUAACUACGUGCCAGCAGCCGCGGUAAUACGUAGGGUGCAAGCGUUAAUCGGAAUUACUGGGCGUAAAGCGUGCGCAGGCGGUUUUGUAAGACAGAGGUGAAAUCCCCGGGCUCAACCUGGGAACUGCCUUUGUGACUGCAAGGCUUGAGUGCGGCAGAGGGGGGAUGGAAUUCCGCGUGUAGCAGUGAAAUGCGUAGAUAUGCGGAGGAACACCGAUGGCGAAGGCAAUCCCCUGGGCCUGCACUGACGCUCAUGCACGAAAGCGUGGGGAGCAAACAGGAUUAGAUAGCCCUGGUAGUCCACGCCCUAAAACGAUGUCAACUGGUUGUUGGGAAGGUUCCUUCUUAGUAACGUAGCUAACGCGUGAAGUUGACCGCCUGGGGAGUACGGCCGC
rnacentral:rRNA from 1 species